rnacentral:misc_RNA from 1 species
GACACUGUUUUAUACAAGAAACCAUCCUUGAAAAACAUGCCACCAAUAUUCUCAAAGUAUUCUCCAGUAAUGGGAUCACGUCUGCGCUCUACACGGAUAUGCAACUCUCUAGCUUCAUCAAUAUUCAUAAAACGAGGUGGAGGAACAAAUGCCUUCUUCUUAGCAACUUCUCUCCCUUCCAAUUUAUUUGCAAGAGCCUGUAGGUCUAUCCGUGGAAUCAGUUU